rnacentral:snoRNA from 2 species
GCACGGUGAGAAAUGAUGUUUGAUCCCGUUCGUCGUAACUGGCAUCUUCUUUCCCUGCCGACCAUUCUGUUAUAUUACGACCUGAGUCC